AUGUCGCUCAUGAUGAAUCCUGGUUUCCAACCCAAUUGGCUUUUUCACAGAACAAGUGAUAAAAAGGGCAGAAUUCAAUCUUUGAAGAGCUCCCCCAUCCUGAACCCCUUUCCAGACAAAGGAGGGAAACCCCAGACCUCCAUUGCCAACUGUGGUUAUCUCCAUCCAAAUCAUCACUUCCUGAACGGUAAGUUGGAUAGUAGAGGUUUGCCUUUGUUUGUUUGGGUUCCUCAACAGUCCAUUUUCUGUCCGAAAGUCCCAGCACUCCAAGGACACCCUGUUUUGGGGACGCCUAAUUCAACAGCCACUGUUCCAAAUUCACCGUCUUAGGUAAAGGAAACAGGAGAGGAUGCUCUCUCCUGUCUUCCUUCUCCUCAGCAGCCUCCUCCUCUUCCAGCCUUUUACCAUGGGGUCCAGCCACUCCGUUCCGUCUAAAACUACCCCCUUAGGAUGUCUCCUCUGGAAUCUGGACACCCUUGGUCUCCAGUCUGCAGUCAAGUCCCAAAAAUUAAUUUUCUAUUGUAAUAUGGCCUGGCCCAAAUAUAAAUGAGAUAAUGGCUCUCAGUGGCCUGAAAAUGGUACUUUCAAUUUCAGCAUUUUCUGGGACCUUAACAACUUCUGCCACUGCAAUGGUAAAUUGUCUUGGGUUCCUUGUGUUCAGGCUUUCUUUACCCUCUACAAUCGCCCCUCUGUCAGUCCUGCUCCACUUUCCAAAUUCUCCUUGCCUGCUCAUAACCCAACUCAACCCGCCCCCAGCUGCAGCUGGCAGACAAUAUGUCCUCUUUUGACCCAGCUGACUUCUCUCUACCCCACACCUGUUCCUGGCAUCCCCCGCAGCCAGCUCCCUUACUCCCCCUUCUAGAAGUGGUGGAAAUGGAAGGCAUUGUCCACGUUCAUGUCCCCUUCUCCCUAGCCAAUCUCAAAAUGUGCCUCAGGUUCUCCUCCUCCAAUCCAAACACUUACAUCAAAAAAUGUAAAUAUCUUACCCAGUGUUAAGAACUCACUUUGCAUGAUCUCUCUAUUAUCCUCUCUUCUACCCUCCUUCCGAAAGAAAAGGAAAGAGUGUGGCUCACAACACAGGCACAUGCAGACAGUCUUCAAAGGCAAGAUCUGAUUAAGCACAUAGAAGCCACCGCCAUCCCAGGAAUACCAGCCCACAGAUCCAGGCUGAGUGUCCUACAACUAUGUAAUUACUUCCCUUAUUGCAGGCCUUAACAACAAAGCUGCCCAUAGGCCGUUACUUUUUUAAAAACUCAAAUUUCCCAGAAGGCAGACCAAAUUCUUGCCCAGUUUCUUUCCCACCUUACAGAGGCCCUCCAAAAAUACACCCAUGUUAAUCCUGCCCUGGAAAAGGCACCAUAGUCCUUAACACUCCUUUGGUCUCCCAGUCUGUUUCAGACAUCCAGCACAAACUUAAAAAGGCUGCAGAUGGCCCUCAAACCCCACAGCAAGACCUCCUUAACCUGGCCUUCAAGGUCUUCAAUAACAGGGAUGAACAAAUUAGAACAGACAAAGCCAAAAGAGAUUGUGCUAAAUACCAGCUUCUAGCAGCAGCCAUUUGCCAGCCUAAAUAGCCUGACUGUGGCACCCAGGGGCACAAAAGACACAAUAGCAGUGCACCUCCAAGGGCAUGUUUCAAGUACAGCAAGGAAGGCCAUUUGGCACAGGCAUGUCCCAAUCCAUGGGCACCAAAAAGCCCUUGUCCCAUCUGCCAUUAGAUAGGCCACUGGAAGUCUGACUUUCCUAUCAGACAGACAGAAAAGCCUGUACCUCCAGCCCGCAUGCCCUUCACCAAGACAAAGAUGAAGAAUAACUUGAACUCCCAUAGCUUACUGGCUUAGCCGCUGAAGACUGAUGGGGCCCACGGCCCCCGGCCCCAUCUGCCAUCACUGCAUUGGAGCCCAGGGUAACUCUGUUAGUAGCAGGUAAGCCAGUCUCUUUUUAAAUCAAUACCAAGGCCACCUACUCGGCUUUACCUGAAUUUUCAGGACGAACUCAUCCCUCACAGGUCUCAGUUGUGGAGGAAGAUGGACUCAUCUUAUGUCCACAGGCCACCAGACCCCUUACUUAUUCCUUAUGUAUUAGCAUUUUCUCACACUCUUUCCUUAUCAUGCCUCACUGUCCUACUACUCCCAUUCUAGGCAGGAACCCCCAUGAAUAAUUGUCCCCUUAUUUAUCAACAACUCCUCCAAGCUGCAUACCUCUGCCGAGGAUGCCAAACAGGAUCAGAUAAAAUCUUAUAAAGGAACAGGUCGACAAGGCAGCAAAAGAAACCUCCCUUUCAUGUAGCCCCUCCCCCUGCUCCCGCUUCCUCCUGCUCCCACCACAGAAGACAUGCCUGCUUCCCUUCCACCAUGACUGAAAGUUCACUAAGGCCUCCCCAGCCAUCUUCCUGUACAGCCUGCAGAACUGUGAGCCAAUUAAACCUCUUUUCUUUAUAAAUCACCAAGUUUCAGAUAUUUCUUUACAGCAGUGUGAGAACAGACUAAUACACUAAUCAUCACAGAAAUGCAAAUCAAAACCACAACGAGACACCAUUUCACACCAGUCAGAAUGGCUAUUAUUCAAAAGUUGAAAAACAGGGCUGCAGAGAAAAGGACACUUCUACACUGUUGACAGAACGCACAUUAGUUCAGCCACUGUGGAAAGCAGUUUGGAAAUUUCUCAAAUAACUUAAAACAGAACUACCAUUCUGCCAGCAAUCCUAUGAUUGGGUAUAUAUUCAAAAGAAAACAAACUGUCUUUCCAAAACGACACAUGUACUCACGUGUUCACUGCACCUGUAUUCACAAUAGCAAAGACAUGAAACCAACCUGGGUACCCAUCAAGAGUGGACUGGAUGAAGAAAAUGUGGUACGUAUGCACCACUGAAUACUAUGCAGCAAAACAAACACGAAUGGAAUCAGGUCUUUGGCCGCAGCAUGGAUGCAACUGGAAGCCACAGUCCCGUAACUGAAUUAACACAGGAACAGAAAAUCAAAUACUGCAUGUUCUCAUUUACAAAUGGGAGGUAAGCAUUAGGUACUCCUGGAUAUAAGAUAGCAACAAUAGAAACGGGAUGACAGGAGAGGGAGGGAGGCAGGCAGGCAGGGGCUGAAAAACUAACUACUGGGUAUGCUAUGCUCGUGUGGUAGGUGACAAGAUAAUCUGUAAAUCAAACCUCAGCAUCAUGCAAUAUACCCAGGUAAAACACCUGCACAUGUGCUCCUUUGGAUGUAAAAUAAAAGGUUAAAAAUAAAUAAAU
rnacentral:lncRNA from 1 species